rnacentral:rRNA from 1 species
UGGGGAAUAUUGGACAAUGGGCGCAAGCCUGAUCCAGCCAUGCCGCGUGAGUGAUGAAGGCCCUAGGGUUGUAAAGCUCUUUCACCGGUGAAGAUAAUGACGGUAACCGGAGAAGAAGCCCCGGCUAACUUCGUGCCAGCAGCCGCGUAAUACGAAGGGGGCUAGCGUUGUUCGGAUUUACUGGGCGUAAAGCGCACGUAGGCGGACUUUUAAGUCAGGGGUGAAAUCCCGGGGCUCAACCCCGGAACUGCCUUUGAUACUGGAAGUCUUGAGUAUGGUAGAGGUGAGUGGAAUUCCGAGUGUAGAGGUGAAAUUCGUAGAUAUUCGGAGGAACACCAGUGGCGAAGGCGGCUCACUGGACCAUUACUGACGCUGAGGUGCGAAAGCGUGGGGAGCAAACAGG